rnacentral:rRNA from 1 species
GAUGAACGCUGACAGAAUGCUUAACACAUGCAAGUCAACUUGAACUUCGGUUUGGGUGGCGGACGGGUGAGUAACGCGUAAAGAACUUGCCUCACAGCUAGGGACAACAUUUGGAAACGAAUGCUAAUACCUGAUAUUAUGAUUAUAUGGCAUCGUAUAAUUAUGAAAGCUAUAUGCGCUGUGAGAGAGCUUUGCGUCCCAUUAGCUAGUUGGAGAGGUAACAGCUCACCAAGGCGAUGAUGGGUAGCCGGCCUGAGAGGGUGAUCGGCCACAAGGGGACUGAGACACGGCCCUUACUCCUACGGGAGGCAGCAGUGGGGAAUAUUGGACAAUGGACCGAGAGUCUGAUCCAGCAAUGCUGUGUGCACGAUGAAGUUUUUCGGAAGGUAAAGUGCUUUCAGUUGGGAAGAAAAAAUGACGGUACCAACAGAAGAAGUGACGGCUAAAUACGUG